UACGAGGGGGGCAAGCGUUGUUCGGAAUUAUUGGGCGUAAAGGGUGCGUAGGCGGUGCGGUAAGUCUUCUGUGAAAUCUCCGGGCUCAACUCGGAGCCUGCAGGAGAAACUGCCGUGCUUGAGUAUGGGAGAGGUGAGUGGAAUUCCUGGUGUAGCGGUGAAAUGCGUAGAUAUCAGGAGGAACACCUGUGGCGAAAGCGGCUCACUGGACCAUAACUGACGCUGAGGCACGAAAGCUAGGGGAGCAAACAGG
rnacentral:rRNA from 1 species